rnacentral:tRNA from 1 species
AUCUGGCUGGCUCAAUUGGUAGAGCAUGUGACUUGUUCUCAGGGCUGUGAGUUCAAGCCUCAUACUGGGUG